GAAUUUUGGACAAUGGGCGAAAGCCUGAUCCAGCAAUGCCGCGUGCAGGAUGAAGGCCUUCGGGUUGUAAACUGCUUUUGUACGGAACGAAAAGCUUUGGGUUAAUACCCUGGAGUCAUGACGGUACCGUAAGAAUAAGCACCCGCUAACUACGUUCCGUCAGCCGCGGUAAUCCGAAGGGUGCAAGCGUUAAUCGGAAUUCCUGGGCGUAAAGCGUGGGGAGGCGGUGUGGUAAGACAGAGGUGAAAUCCCCGGGCGCAACCUGGGAACUGCCUUUGGGACUGCAAGGCUAGAGUACGGCAGAGGGGGGUGGAAUUCCGCGUGUAGCAGUGAAAUGCGUAGAUAUGCGGAGGAACACCGAUGGCGAAGGCAACCCCCUGGGCCUGUACUGACGCUCAUGCACGAAAGCGUGGGGAGCAAACAG
rnacentral:rRNA from 1 species